UUUAUUUCUCACAGUAAUGCUGUUUCUGCACAGAACCUUUGCACAGCUCCUGUUAAAUACAUUUGACAGCUGAUGUUUUUACUCAUGUUUCUGUUUGUUACUCGUGUACAGAAACACAACUGUUUUUUUAAAAAACAUUGACCCUAUAGCUGGGCGUUGUGGUGUGUGUCUGUAGUCCCAUCUACUCCAGAAGCUGAGCGAGCACCUCCAGUAAAAGGUGAACAUAUGUGGUGUUGUAAUAGUUCCCAUUCAGACCAUCUUCAGUGCUGUUUCUACAAGUUGACGUCAGUUGGAGGUACAUGAAAGGACAAGAAUUUGUCCUGUUCUGAUCUCUACUGCUUGGCAAAAGGAGAGAUUGUUAUUAAAUUCGCUUUCCAAUGACAGAAGCACUGCAAGUGCAUUUUAAGGUGCCAAAACUAUUGUUCCCAGAUUAGCUGCAGACAGGAGCAGAGCUUUCGAUGGAAAUUUUAAAGAAAUGGGAUCAACAUCCAGAAGCAUUUCUUCAAAGAAUUGCCACGGGAGCUGAACUUUCCCUUUACCAUCCUGAAGACAAAGCAGAAUCAAAGAAAUGGCUACCGAGGGUGGAAGUGGCCCCGUCACAGCACAAGCAGACUGGCCAAGAGCAAAGGUCGUGGCAACAGUGUUUUGGGAUGCUCAUGGCAUAGUGCCUGUUGACUUCUUGAAGGGCCAGAGAACGAUAGCAUCUGCUUAUUAUGAGAGUGCUUGUAAAAAGUUAGCAAAAGCUUUAACAGACAGACACCUGAGAAAGCUUCACCAGAGAGUCCUCCUCCACCACAACAAAGGUUCUGCUCAUUCCUCUCAUCAAGUGAGGGCGAUUUUGCGAGAGUUUCAAUGGGAAAUCUUUAACCAUACACCCUGGAUAGGUUCCUUCUGACUUCUUUACUUCCUAAUAUUUAAAAAAUCUGUAAAAGGCACCCAUUUUUUCCCAGUUAAUAAUGUAAAAAAGACUGCACUGACAUGGUUAAAUUCCCAGGACACUUAGUUCUUUAGGGAUGGACUAAAUGAAUGGUAUCAUUCUUACAAAAGUGUCUGGAACUUGAUGGAACUCGUGUUGAGAAAUAAAAUCAUAUUUUAAACUUU